UACGUAGGGGGCAAGCGUUGUCCGGAAUCAUUGGGCGUAAAGCGCGUGUAGGCGGCCCUGCAAGUCGGGUGUGAAAUCCCACGGCUCAACCGUGGAAGUGCACUCGAAACUGCAGGGCUAGAGUCCUGGAGAGGAAGGUGGAAUGCUUGGUGUAGAGGUGAAAUUCGUAGAUAUCAAGCGGAACACCGGUGGCGAAGGCGGCCUUCUGGACAGUGACGUGACGCUGAGACGCGAAAGCGUGGGGAGCAAACAGG
rnacentral:rRNA from 1 species